rnacentral:lncRNA from 1 species
AAAGCUGAGCCUCGUCCUCAUGGUCGGGGUAGGGGGUGUAUACUCUCACUGAAUAUGAUUCUUUAAGCAAUAAGCAUGCUUAGGGUGGGAAUUGCCCGCAGUAGGUCCCAUUUCCUGGGACCGACCUUGUAGAUCUCCUCUUGUCACAGGUUUCAUUUGUCCUUAUUUUUUCUUUAAAAAAACUAUAUAUAUACACACACCAUUUAACAAUAUAUUUGUGUUAAAUUACUUGCACUGAAAAGUUUUGGCUCCC